GUGAACACUCCACUUUCUUUUCAAGUCCACUUCUGUGGCCACCAAUGACCACAUAAUGCCUACAGAAGGUUAACCCAUGUCACUGACUGAGAUUGGCACCGAGCCCAUUGUCUGCUCCACUUGCAAAUACCUUCUUAAACAACCUUAUAUGAGCAGUUCUCUUCUCAGGCUACUCUAGCACAGCUGUGGCCAGCUGCACUCAGCCUUCAGCCCAGCCAUGGAUUAUAUACCAGAUGAUUCCUGUUCAUUGAAAAUACUGGAAACAACAAGGAAUACAUCACACUGCCGAGAAAUUGGAUCCACCCAGAGAGACCAAAGGAAAGCUAUGACAUUUGAGGAACAGGCAAACAUUUCUCCUGCAAGCAUUUACUGAAGCAGACUAUAAAAACAAGUUUGGAUACUCCACCGGAAUGCUGUCACAGUUCUGAAUUUGGAAACUGAUAUUACCAUGUCCGUAAAGGACAAAGAAUGGAGGCUCCAAAUGUUGUAAUGAGUAACGCUUUUUAAAACUCAGAAAACUGACCAACAUCUGAGAACUAACUUGAUCCAGCCAAAUAUUUCUGGGUAUAAGAAGAGGCAAUGAUAAUUAGAAUUGCUGCUUGUAGAUAGGUAGUUUAAACUACACACAGUAGCUGGAUGUCUUCAAGGUAAAAGCAACUGAAGAGCAUUAGUGUUCAAGUAUCAUUAACCUCUCCAAAACGUUUCUUGGCAAACGGUUCUGAAGGCCUUCACUGAGUUUCUGUCAUUCUUCCCCUCCUUCUGUUCUAUGUCUUCCCACACUCAGUGAGUGGAACAUUUGGAUCAUUUUUAAAUUGUGUGAGGGAAGAGACCAAGAAAAAAAAUAAUUGAAGAACAGGGCAACUCUCUAGUAGUAAUAAAUAUUUAACUUGAAAAAUGCCUAAGAAUAAAUAUCAUCUAUAUAGGCACAUACAAGACUGUGGCACUCCUCUUUUGUUCACAUGUAGGAUCUUAGAAAAAAUAACCCCAAUAUUUUACUAUGAAAGAUUAUAGGUACCUAUGUUUUGAUUCACUUUUUUCCAACGUACCUGACUUUAAAGUUUUCCUUUUCAAAGAGCCAAGUGAACUCCUGCAUCUUGUCUCCCUUCUUGCUAAUUAUUUAAAGAGAUGACUCCAACGCCAUGUUUGAAAAUGUAUUUAAGUUUAAUAAUAUCUACAUUUUCACCCAGAUCUUUAUAGAUGCAAGAAUUAUAAUACCAAUGAAAGCUUUAAAUAUGAUACAAAUGACCUUGUAAAGACAUUUCAUAAACUCGUUCAUUUAAAAAAGUAACAAAAUGUUUCUAACACAAGG
rnacentral:lncRNA from 1 species